rnacentral:lncRNA from 1 species
GCUAUAUCCUGCCUUGAUUAGCAGGUCUGUAACUGAGGCUUGGAAAACAAGUCCUGCUGCUCUCCCAUCUCGAGAGGAUGGUCUGCCCUUAGGAGCGUGGGCUGGGAAAGAGGCCCACACAGGCCCUGGAAAUGGGCUUCAGGACACUGGGACAUGGGAACAGAGAAUCUUCAGGAGCAGGAAAGCAAGAGGUCAUCAGGUCAGACUGGCUGAAGGAAGACUGAGGCGGGAGCUGAGAGCAGAGACUUCAACCAUGACCAUGCCUGGACUCUCCAGAUAAAGCACUGGUGAAAUCAAAGACCAACAAUGUCAAGUAUUGGCAAGACUGUGGAGCAACUGGAACUCUCAUUCCCUGAUGGAGGGAAUGCAAAGUACAAGCUAUAGCCACUUUUCCUCGUCAUUUUACAUGAAGGGCAGACAUGCACUUAAGGUAGGACCCAGAAAUUCUGCUUCUAGGCAGACUUAUGUCCACAAAAGGCUGCCACAGGGAAGUUCAUGCAGACAUCCUCAUAAUUGCCAAAAGCCAGAAACAGCCCAAUAGCCAUCAAUGGGUGUCUGAAUAAACAAAUUGUGAUCAAUUUACACAAUGGCGCAUCCAUACAAUAAAAAGAACAAACUACCUGUGCACACCACAGCAUAGAUGAAUCUCAGAAUCAUUAUACUGAGCAAAAAAAAAAAAAAAAAAAAAAAGAGUCCAGACAUAAAAUUCUACUAACUGGACGAUCCUAUUCAUGUGAAAUUCUAGGAGGGGUUUCAUUGGUUUGCAGUAAUAAAGGUCAGAACCGUGUUGGGGGAGCGGAA